rnacentral:sRNA from 2 species
AGAGUAAGUCAGCCUAAUCCUUCUAAUUGCGAGCUUGCAUUAGUUGGAGCGGAGGAACCAUUCAAAGGGGCGUAUUCUGAGAAAGGGUAAAGCUAAAGUAUGAAGGAUAAAAAAGGGGGCAGUAGUAACUUCAUCCUUCACACUUCAUAGCUCAUCCUUCUCAGGGAGAGUAUCUCUCAACUCUAGCCCGUCAGCUAACUUCGUAGGCACUGAGAGGAGACUGA